UCAACCGUCCUUCACCCAGUAGUGUGUAUUGAAUUCUUGUCUCGAGUCUUGAAGUCUUGAGGUCCGAGUCUGAAGUCUUGAGGCCUUGAAGAUGCAGUCCUUGCAGAUGCCAUCAUGGAGUCGUCGUCAUUGACGUAGAGUCCUCCUUCUUCACACCACUCUCGCGCACUCGUACCAAACCCCGUCUACUAUAGCAUAGCAUUAAAAUAAAUAACGUCCCGGGCUUGGUAACAGGGUGAUGGGUUCCUACCUCAUGCAUACUAAUCAACUACAAGAAUUCAAUAUCACUACUGGAGGGACUGUUGCAAAGAUGACACCAAAUGCAAUAAAAACAUAGGUAUGAUAAACAUGGUCAAAGUGAACUUGCCUCGUAAUACUUGAUGAAGAUAAUAAUGCUCUCAGAAUAAUGACUUCGUAGAACUAUUCGUCACUCCGUUGAAAAUCUAUAUAGUCAAACAUAGCAUUCAUAUAAGCAAGCAUACUAGCAAGCAAUUCUAACACUCGUAAUAAAACCAACAAAUAAAAUGCAAAUCAACAAGGGACACCAAAUAAAAACAAAAGAAAACUACACCACGAAACUACUAAAGAAAACUCUAAGACAUAACAAAAAAUAGUUGUCCUAAGUAAAACUUAACAACAAAUAAAACACUAAACUAAUAAGUUAACAGAAAAUAAAAAAAUAAAACAACUAAGUUAACAGAAAGUAUUUUUCAUAAAAUUUUAUUUGCAAAAGGAAACAAAUAAAAAGCUUUUAUGAAACACUAACUAUGUACUAAACAAGUUUUCAUACGAAAACUAAAUAAAAUAAAAUUUUAAAAUAAUAUAAAAUUUUAUUUUGUUGACCAACAGAACAAAACUAAGAGUUUGUCAAAAAUGACAAAAAGAGAAAAAAACAAUUAAAACUAUAAAGAAAAGACUAAAACAAAACUAUAACUAAAACCGUACUGUUUUGAUAAAAACCUAAUUUUAAAAUAAACUAAAAAUAAAAUACUCAACACUACUGGAUAGAUAAAGGUCCGAGUGACCAGGAAAAAAGAAUCAAUCAAAAAUAUUUUAUAAAGCUCAAGUUAUGGCCAAAUUACUAAUUUGAACAAAUUUCAUCAAACUCAAAAUUUAAACAACUGAAACUUGAUAACUAAAGACACAAACAGAAACUUCAGGAAAUUUUGAAUAUAAUGCAAAAAGAAUCACUCAAUUUGGAUAAACACACUAAAAGAUAUAAGCAAUCUAAAAUUGAAACUAUUUCUGUUUUUAAAACAGAAACGAAAAUAAACUAAAAAAACUGGCAGGUACUACGCGUCGGGCUGCUAUUGGGCCUAAGCAGUCGGUGAUCUGAACUAAACAACGCUCGGCCAUAACUUAACAAAACCAUGACUGUGCGGCUAAAGCAGAAAACCGGAGGAGGCCCGGUUCGAUCUGAACCAAUCUAAACCGUAAAUAAAACCGCAUUAAAACCGAUCUAAUACAUAAAACCUACCUAUUCGUUUGCAUCUAAUCUAAGCCGUAUAAUGAAAGUCUAACGGCGGGGAGAGUCGUCGGAGCUUACAGCAGUGGUGGUCGCCGGCGAUGCGGCUCGGCGUCGUCGGCGGCGGCACUCCGGUCGUCGGAGAGCUCCGGCAAGGGCACGGGCGGACGAGGCGUUUGACGGCGAGUCCAGCGGUGGCCGAGGCGGCGUCAUAGGUUGACGGAGGAGGUCGGCGGCGAGGUCGACGUGGCGGUGGCGUUCGGGCAUCGUCAGUGGCGGCGCUCCGGUGGGUUUCGGGCUCGCGCGAGCGCACGUGGAGGUGCGGACGAGGGAGGAGGUUACGGUGGUGAUCCCAAGUGGCGGCUAGGUGGUCAGGGUGGUGAGGUAAGGCAAUAAUGGUGCGGCGGCGGCGCUCGGAUCCGGCGAGAAAUCGGGGAGGCAGCAGAGGUUCUUGGUGUGGGGAAAGGAGGGGAACGGGUCGAGGGAGAGGGAUAUUUAUAGGGGGAGGAGUUCUUGGAGGAGGGGCGAGGGGAUUCUCGAUCCCGAGAGAUGCGGGAUACUGUGGCGGCGGCGCGAUCCGGCUCGGGCCAUUGCCUGCGGGAGGAGGAAGGCGACGGCGGGUCCCACGCGUCAGCGAGAGAAGAGAGAGGGGAAAGGGAUCGGGUGACCGAGCGAGAGGGGAUUCGGGCGCGGCGUGGCUGGAGCUGGCCGGCUCGGCUUGCUGGUGGGCCGCGUCGGGUGGCUGGCUGGUCCGGUUGGCCUGGUCGUGCCUGGGGUUUCCCCAUUUUUUUAGCAGAGACUAAAAUUAAUAGAAAAAGUAAAAGAACUGAAAUUAUACAUAGACAUAUAAUAUAUCAAAAUUUUCAGAAUUUUUUUUCCUAUAGCAUGGACUAUUUCUAAAGUUCAAACAAAAUUCACACAAAAUCGGAAAAAAAUUCAAACAGCACUGCUAUUGCAAUAAAACUCAAUAAAAAUCAUUUUUUAAAUACCAAAAUGAUUUCAAAUUUAUUUUCUCCUAAUUUUCCAUUGAAGGGAAUCAUUUUACCCUGGUUUCCAUUUAUUUAUUUUUAGGAGAAAAAUAAUUUGAAAAAAAUCCAAAUAAUUCCAAAUUGAAAGGGAGUUUCAAAAUACUUCCAAAUGACUUUCAAUUUGAUUCUUUGUAACUUCCAACUCGUAUUGCAUAUAAUUGAAGAAGUCAUUUUAUCUUCCCUCAAGAAAAUCAUUGAGUUGCAUAAAGUUUUAUAAUUUGAAAUAUUUCCAAAUAGAAUUCAAAUCUUUUCAAAAACCCUUUUGAUUUCAAAUGGAAAAAGUCAUGUCAUCUUUACUCUAGGGUUUUGUGUUGAAAUGAAUUUGAAUUCAUUGGGAUAAAAUGCAAGAAUGAAAGUUUGGGAAAGUCAUUUCGUUCCCUCUCAUUCGACUUUCAAAAGUUUCAAAUUUCACUCACUUUCAGUCAAUCAAUCAAACAAACAAUAAUAAUAAUUUAUUUAAUAUAACAUUCCAAAAUUUAGAAUUUUGGGAUGUUACAAACCUAGCACACUUAAAAUGAAUCUCGUCCUCGAGAUUCGAAGAGGCUAGCAAGAAAGGUUAGGGUUUGGGGGUCUUCUAGCAAAUCCAUCAAUCGGAAAGGUCUAGUGUGCUACCACACUUAAAAACAGGGUUAUGGUUCCAACACAUCUUAUGUACUCCAUCCUUAGUGUGGACACUAUCGGUCUUCUCACAUCUUCGGAUCAACUCCUACACUGGGGCUGUUCCAGUAGGGCAUAACCUUUUCCUCAAACUCGUGUCCUUUCAUCCUGGUGAGGUUCUUCCGAGACUGGGUCUUCAUAUCUGACAGGUCUGUCGCCAAUUUUAAUUAAUUAGCGAAAUCUCAUGGUGGUCAACAAUUAAUGGUUUCUCCUGCAGAAAAGGGUCUGGGUUGAAUCUCACCGUAUAUCCUACGAUUGGCAACGGUUGCCUGUUAUAGGGAUCCAUCAUUCUAGCAUUCUAUGGUUUAAACAAGGUUUGAUAUCGUCGUCUCUCUACUAUGGGUAAGUCACUCAGAUUUACCAUUCCAAAUAGCAAGAGCGAAUGACCAGAGUAAGUCGGUAUGGUGAUCAAUCCAUUCCGCACCCAAAUCAUUACUCUGUAUAAGGUUUAGCGAAUCUCGCAUUUCUAACACUCGGGAAUUCUCACAAGCAUUGCAGAAUUUCUCUUGUCGACGAACUUAGUUCGGAUAAUUCCAUUGAUUCUACAAGCUGAAUGAAACAUCUAUCGUUACUUCACAACUCUCGGGGUUUCGUAGCCUCCUAAGGAACAUCUGCUCAUCAAAUCACAUCUUCUUCCAAAAUUUCUUCUUGCAGGGAGUACUUGAUCUUUAUUAAUUCCUGGGCCUGUGGGUUGUGGGCCCACUUCAAUACUUGCAUAGCUUUAACUCAUCCUAUUGGGUUAUAUGGUUACAUAUUCCAACAUUACACCUCCUUAAAUUCCAAUAUUGCUUCAUUCCUUCAUAUUCUUGGGGUAACCAACAUAUCGAAACAAAACUCAUACCUAUUUUGUCCAAAGUUCACUCCCUGAAAUAUCAUUAUCCUUUCCAUGGGUCAAGUGUUCUUCACAGGGUACUACCACCCUUAAAUGAAAUUCACAAAUCCAUCCAUAGACCAUAUUUCUCAUAUCCUCGAAACUGGUCCAAAAUCUUUGUUCAUAGAGUAAAAACUCACAUAAUACAACAUAUGAAAUCAUAACACAUUAACUUUAUUGAUUUCAUGAAUUCAUUACAAUCUCUGAGCACCCAUUACAUAACUCAACUCAUCGAACUUAUGAAAAUAGGAUUGCUUUCUACCACUCUUAUUAUCCAUAUCAAAAUCUCAACUACUCAGCUCCAGCUUUCUUCUGAUUUGAACAUUCCCUAGCAAAAUGUCCUGCUUCCUUGCAGCGAAAACAAAUGACUUCCGACAUGUCUCGGGGCUUCUUUGUGAUUAUGUAGGCUCCUUGGCUUCUUUUCUGGACAUUGACUAGCGUAAUGACCUAAAUCCUUGCACCUGUAACAAGUGAUAUGACUCAGGUCCUUCUUUGUAGAAGUUGGGUUGUUCUGGGGUUGCCUUCGUUUUCUCUUCCUGGAUUUCUCUGUAACGAUCAGAGCUUCUAUUUCCUGAGGGUCAAACUUCACUUCUGUUGUCGGGAAGUCUCUGAGAUACUCUUGGCUUUCCUUCGUGCAAUACUCUGAAAAAUGACCUUCUUCUCCACAUGAAUAGCAAGCUUGGGCGAAAAAUCUGUUUAGGCCUUCACCAUUAGGGUCUUCAAUAACUUCCUUCAUCACGGGUUCCUCUAAACUUUCCCUAAGGGCUUCUUUCUGCUGCUUGGUAAUUUCUUGUACCUUGCGGUAAAUGUGACAUUGACCAGGGUAGUGUGUAGUUCCUUCACACAGGAAACAAGUAACUGGCCCAGUUGGGCAUUCUUCGGCUGGGUGAUUCUCCUCACAAUGUGGGCAUCCAUCCUUGUGCUCCUCCUGGGUGUGUCCUAUUUCUCCACAUAUCUUGCAUGCACAAGCUUGCUUCAUUUUACUAUCACCGGGCUUCUGGAUAAAACGAGACCUCAGUAGAAUCGUCUUGAAUUCUUCCCAAGCAUUUGCUCCAUUCCAUCCUUGUAUAGCUUGAUGUAUCUCUCGCUAUUUUGCAGCACCUUGUGUGAUCUGUCGUAGGGUGUAUGGAACCAUAUACUCUCCUUCAAUACAGUGCUCCUUCAUGCGAUCUUCCAUGUUCCGUAUCCACUGUGCUACCUCCGGCUGUGUCAUCAAUCUCGGAAAUGUACGUCCAUCUUCAUUCAUCAUCUAUUGGGACCAAGUGUUUUUGGGAUGAGAUUCGGAAAAUAGGGGGAGAUGCACGCAAUACAAACAAUAGGUUUGAAGAAACAGGUUUUAUUUUGUGGCUGUCAAAAAACAUCAAACAAAUGACAGCUCAGAAAUCGUCGCAUCUAACGUAAGUAUAUAACAGGGGUUUUGGUGUUCUAAGGGUCAAAUAAAUCUUCGAAGUUUUCCAAAGUCUUCGGAGUCUUCUGUUGUUGCAGCUGCACUUCUUCCAACGCAUGGAGAAAUCCUCUUUAAACUGAAAUGACCAUCAGUUGUCCGAUAUCUUGUACUUCUUCGAGCGGCUUCAGUUGAUCCUCCGUGUGAUCAAAAGGGAAAGGGGUAUAUUCUAACUAUUUGAGAUAAGAGGGGAUAAGUAAUGGACUACUUUAAAAAGAAGUUUUAGAGAUUUCCUAUACUAGGGGCUUUCCGAUUUCUAGGGUCACGUCCUACAGUCAACAUGUGCUCUGAUACCAUAUCUGUAGCGACCCGACCUCAGACGGUCAAGCCUCUGUGUAUCUGUGCCAUCCCUGGAUCAGUAUGCUGGCACACACAGUACAACAAUGUAUAUAUCAAAGUGCAAUCACAUGUAUAAAUAACGUAAAACUGAUAUAUACCUCAUAAUACUCAGCGGAAACAAUUAAACGGGGGUGGAGUCCCAUCAACGCCAACGGCAAGUUGAGUGUAGACCGUAACCCUGUAUCGUAACUCUUACUCGUCGAAGAAAAUCCUGCAACAUGAUACGUUGCAGCCGUGUAGGUCAGUACAUUGAAUGUACCGGCAAGAUCACAACAUGAGAAAACAGAUGAUAAAACUAUACUAUAUGCAAUAUGGCUUUAUGGCUCUGUGUCUAAGUUUUGUUUUGCAUAAAAGCUGGUUUUAUUUUCCCUACAUCAAAGAAAUAUCAGGAGUCUAUACUACGGAGUUUACUAUCAUGACACGGUUCCGCCAACCGAUGUCUCAUAGCCCAAAUCAUCAUAAGUUGCUCACAAUUAUGUUAUCAGUCCGGUGUUGAGAGUUCCGAGAUAGAUCCAAGUCCAGAGGCUCAAGUUGUCCGUAACCGGGGACACGGCUAAUCGAUUAGGUUUAACCCUCUGCAGAGGUUUGUACACUUCACCCGCAAGAUUCGAUCCCUCUUUUACGUUCUCGCACUUCAGGGUGUUUGAGAACAAGAUGACCGAAACAUGGUCUUCCGAAGAGUUCCCCUGACCACUGUCCGGUGCUCAUCCAAUCCUACCGUCGUUCUACAUCUGCUAGCACCGUCCCAGCCAGAGUCACACCUAAGGUCAACCAAGCCAGAGCCCAUAGUGACUUGCGGUUGCACAGGUAAGCUUCCGGGCUUGAAGUAUUCUUCCAUCUCUUUGAGUUGGGGUGAAGCUUUCCGCAAGAUGUCAUGGCGCUUCUCCAUGCAUCCCAGCCAUCCACUGGUUGCUCCAGGGUGCCCGUCAACCGUCCUUCACCCAGUAGUGUGUAUUGAAUUCUUGUCUCGAGUCUUGAAGUCUUGAGGUCCGAGUCUGAAGUCUUGAGGCCUUGAAGAUGCAGUCCUUGCAGAUGCCAUCAUGGAGUUGUCGUCAUUGACGUAGAGUCCUCCUUCUUCACACCACUCUCGCGCACUCGUACCAAACCCCGUCUACUAUAGCAUAGCAUUAAAAUAAAUAACGUCCCGGGCUUGGUAACAGGGUGAUGGGUUCCUACCUCAUGCAUACUAAUCAACUACAAGAAUUCAAUAUCACUACUGGAGGGACUAUUGCAAAGAUGACACUAAAUGCAAUAAAAACAUAGGUAUGAAAAACAUGGUCAAAGUGAACUUGCCUCGUAAUACUUGAUGAAGAUAAUAACGCUCUCAGAAUAAUGACUUGGUAGAACUAUUCAUCACUCCGUUGAAAAUCUAUAUAGUCAAACAUAGCAUUCAUAUAAGCAAGCAUACUAGCAAGCAAUUCUAACACUCAUAAUAAAACCAACAAAUAAAAUGCAAAUCAACAAGGGACACCAAACAAAAACAAAGGAAAACUACACCACGAAACUACUAAAGAAAACUCUAAGACAUAACACAAAAUAGUUGUCCUAAGUAAAACUUAACAACAAAUAAAAAACUAAACUAAUAAGUUAACAGAAAAUAAAAAAU
rnacentral:lncRNA from 1 species